GAUGAACGCUGACAGAAUGCUUAACACAUGCAAGUCGACUUGAACUUCGGUUUGGGUGGCGGACGGGUGAGUAACGCGUAAAGAACUUGCCUCACAGAUAGGGACAACAUUUGGAAACGCAUGCUAAUACCUGAUAUUAUGAUUAUAUGGCAUCGUAUAAUUAUGAAAGCUAUAUGCGCUGUGAGAGAGCUUUGCGUCCCAUUAGCUGGUUGGAGAGGUAACGGCUCACCAAGGCGAUGAUGGGUAGCCGGCCUGAGAGGGUGAUCGGCCACAAGGGGACUGAGACACGGCCCUUACUCCUACGGGAGGAAGCAGUGGAGAAUAUUGGACAAUGGACCAAGAGUCUGAUACAGCAAUUCGGUGUGCACGAUGAAGUUGUUCGGAAUGUAAAGUGCUUUCAGUUGGGAAGAAAAAAAUGACGGUACCAACAGAAGAAGUGACGGCUAAAUACGU
rnacentral:rRNA from 1 species